UUAACACAUGCAAGUCGAACGGUGAAGCCAAGCUUGCUUGGUGGAUCAGUGGCGAACGGGUGAGUAACACGUGAGCAACCUGCCCUGGACUCUGGGAUAAGCGCUGGAAACGGUGUCUAAUACUGGAUAUGAGCUCUCAUCGCAUGGUGGGGGUUGGAAAGAUUUUUCGGUCUGGGAUGGGCUCGCGGCCUAUCAGCUUGUUGGUGAGGUAAUGGCUCACCAAGGCGUCGACGGGUAGCCGGCCUGAGAGGGUGACCGGCCACACUGGGACUGAGACACGGCCCAGACUCCUACGGGAGGCAGCAGUGGGGAAUAUUGCACAAUGGGCGGAAGCCUGAUGCAGCAACGCCGCGUGAGGGAUGACGGCCUUCGGGUUGUAAACCUCUUUUAGCAGGGAAGAAGCGAGAGUGACGGUACCUGCAGAAAAAGCGCCGGCUAACUACGUGCCAGCAGCCGCGGUAAUACGUAGGGCGCAAGCGUUAUCCGGAAUUAUUGGGCGUAAAGAGCUCGUAGGCGGUUUGUCGCGUCUGCUGUGAAAUCCCGAGGCUCAACCUCGGGCCUGCAGUGGGUACGGGCAGACUAGAGUGCGGUAGGGGAGAUUGGAAUUCCUGGUGUAGCGGUGGAAUGCGCAGAUAUCAGGAGGAACACCGAUGGCGAAGGCAGAUCUCUGGGCCGUAACUGACGCUGAGGAGCGAAAGGGUGGGGAGCAAACAGGCUUAGAUACCCUGGUAGUCCACCCCGUAAACGUUGGGAACUAGUUG
rnacentral:rRNA from 1 species